AGACGAAGGUGGCAAGCGUUGUUCGGAAUUACUGGGCUUAAAGGGCGCGCAGGCGGAAAUGAAAGUGUCUUGUGAAAUCCCCCGGCUUAACCGGGGAAUUGCAGAGCAAACUACAUUUCUUGAGGCAAGCAGGGGUGCAUGGAACUCUUGGUGGAGCGGUGGAAUGCGUAGAUAUCAAGAGGAACGCCAAAGGUGAAGACAGUGCACUGGGCUUGUCCUGACGCUGAGGCGCGAAAGCGUGGGGAGCAAACAGGAUUAGAUACCCUGGUAGUCCACGCUGUAAACGAUGCCUACUAGGUUGUGGAGGUUCUGACGCCUUCACAGUCGAAGCAAAAGUGUUAAGUAGGCCGCCUGGGGAGUACGGUCGCAAGGCUAAA
rnacentral:rRNA from 1 species